rnacentral:lncRNA from 1 species
CUAUCAACAAGCCUGCCUUAAUAGCAACCUGCUUCCUGGUCCCACUUUGAGUGCACCACUGCUUGGUGUGCUACUGAGGUUCAGAGAACACGCUGUGGCCAUCAGUGGAGAUAUCCGUGGCAUGUUCCAUCAGGUACGUCUCCUCCCUGAAGACCAACCACUUCUCCGCUUCCUGUGGCGCGAUUGUGAAAGAGAGCGCAUCCCAGAUGUCUAUGAGUGGCGUGUUUUGCCAUUUGGGACUACCUGCAGCCCAUGCUGUGCAACCUAUGCUUUGCAGCGUCAUGUGCAAGAACACAGUGAAGACAAUGAAGAUGUGGUCCAAUCUGUGCUGAAAGCAUUUUAUGUCGAUAAUUGUCUUCAGUCUCUGCAGUCUCAGGAUCAAGCCAGACAGCUCAUUGACAAGAUGAGAGCUCUUCUUGCCAGUGGAGGCUUUGAUAUGAGACAGUGGUCCAGCAACAUGCCUGAAGUUAUCACCCAUCUACCUCCUGAAGCCAAAUCAGCAGGAUGUGAGUUAUGGCUGACUGCAAAUAAGACCGACCCACAGGAGUCAACACUCGGUCUCCUGUGGCGCUGCAGAACUGACACUCUUGGCUACAAACACCGAACCAUCCCAGUGGCUGAACCGUCCAUGAGAUAUGUCUAUCAGGUUUUAGCCAGUCAAUACGACCCUCUGGGCUACAUUCUACCGUAUACCACGCAUGCCAAGGUCCUGGUUAAAGCCCUGUGGAGAAAGGAAAGAGGAUGGGAUGAGCCUAUUGUGGACAGUCUUCUCCCCAUAUGGGAAGCGUGGGAGAGCGAGCUCCCCCAGCUUCAACACAUCACACUGCCACGCUGCUACAUCGCUAAUGUUCCUACUGAUGCUCCGGUUGAACUACACAUCUUUUGCGACGCCUCAGAGAAAGCCUACGGUGCUGUAGCCUACAUGAGGGUUGAAGACAGUAAAGGAAAAGUACAGGUGGCAUUUGUGAUGGCAAGGUCUCGUGUAGCACUGAAGAAACAACUGUCAAUACCUCGCCUGGAGUUGUGUGCGGCCCUGUCAGGUGCAAAAUUAGCCAAGAUCUUGCUCACCGAGUUGACUUUGCCAGUAAGCAAACCAACACUGUGGACAGAUUCCACGACUGUUCUUCAC